UUCUCGUUCUUUCUCUUCUUCUUCGUUCUAUUUUUUAUUUUGUUCUUCGUUUCUCUCUGUUGAUUUUCUACUCAAACGAUUGAGUUAAGUUCUGAGAAAUUCUUAAGAAGCUUGUUAACCUGAUUGAUGAAGAAAAGGGAGUUAUUUUUUAAUUGAUGAUGCGAAGCGGUUCUGUUGGUUAGACAGAAAGUUAGGGUUCAGAUUUGAUGUUGAGUUUAUUUAGGAAUUAAUAAGUUAAUAGGGAUGUUAAAUUGUAUUGAAUGGAAUUUGGUUGUAGUUAAAUUGUAUUGAAUUACAAAUAGUAACAUGUUAGAAACUAUUUGUGGUUUGCUGAUGAUUGAAAACAAGUUAUAGAUGAAUGCGAUGUGUAAUGAUAGUGAUUCUGUAAUUGUUGGUGGGGUUAAGGGAUUGUAGUGAAAAACUGGAUGUGUGUACUGAACUAGUUGAAAUAUUAGAAUUGUAAUUGAUAAGAUUGUGUUAUCCUGAGUUGAAAUUGGUAUUGCUGUUGAGAUUCAUGGUGUCUGUAAAAAGUUGUUUGUGUUGAUGAUUGUUUUAUUUGAAGUGCAGAGUUACUUGAGAUGAACUUGUUGAGAAUUGAACAAAUGAUGAGUUACAGAGAGUGGAGGUUGAGCUAUUGAUAUUUGAAGAUAAGUGAGGUUUAGUGGUUAGUGACUGAAGUUCCGGAAAGAGGUUAUGGUGAAUGUGUUGAGAUGAUCAGUGGAAGCUUGUAACUGCAAUUGCAGGUAAACUGUAUUGGAAUUUGAAGUUUAUUUGAAUGGUUCUACUGAUGUUUUAUUA